rnacentral:rRNA from 1 species
CCUACGGGUGGCUGCAGUGAGGAAUAUUGGUCAAUGGGCGGAAGCCUGAACCAGCCAAGUAGCGUGCAGGAUGACGGCCCUACGGGUUGUAAACUGCUUUUAUACGGGAAUAACGCGCCUUACGUGUAGGGCUUUGCAUGUACCGUAUGAAUAAGGACCGGCGAAUUCCGUGCCAGCAGCCGCGGUAAUACGGAAGGUCCGGGCGUUAUCCGGAUUUACUGGGUGUAAAGGGUGCGUAGGCGGUCUUGCAAGUCAGACGUGAAAACCACAGGCUCAACCUGUGGACUGCGUUUGAAACUGUGGGGCUUGAGUGAAGUAGAGGUAGGCGGAAUUCCCGGUGUAGCGGUGAAAUGCUUAGAGAUCAUACAGAACACCGAUUGCGAAGGCAGCUUACCAAACUAUAUCUGACGUUGAGGCACGAAAGCGUGGGUAGCAAACAGGAUUAGAUACCCGGGUAGUC